AGACGCUGGGCGGCGUGUCUUAGCCAUGCAAGUCGAGCGGACUUAUGGGGUAACUUAUAAGUCAGCGGCGGACGGCGGAGUAACACGUAGCUAACCUACCCUCUGGACGGGGAUAACCUACCGAAAGGUGGGCUAAUACCCGAUGUAGUCAUCCUGUAUAGGGGUGAUGAAAGGUGGGCUUCUGUUUACAAGCUCAUGCUGGAGGAGGGGGCUGCGGCCUAUCAGGUAGUUGGUAGGGUAAUAGCCUACCAAGCCGAUGACGGGUAGCCGGCCUGAGAGGGUGACCGGCCCGAGGGGCACUGAGAUACGGGUCCCACUCCUACGGGAGGCAGCAGGCUAGAAAUUUGGGCAAUGGGGGAAACCCUGACCCAGUGACGCCGCGUGCAGGAAGGAGCCCUUCGGGGUGUAAACUGCUGUCGUGUAGGGAGAAGGGUACUAAGGUGAACAAUCUUAGUACUUGACGGUACUACAGGAGGAAGCCCAGGCUAACCUCGUG
rnacentral:rRNA from 1 species